rnacentral:tRNA from 1 species
GAUAAAAUGGCUGAGUUUAGGCGAUAAAUUGUAAAUUUAUUUACGGUAGUUGAACCUUUUAUCA